rnacentral:tRNA from 1 species
ACCUGGCUGGCUCAGUCAGUGGAGGGUGAGACUCUUGAUCUCAGGGUUGUGAGUUCGAGCCCCACAUCGGGUG